GGGUUGUGAGGUUAAGCGACUAAGCGUACACGGUGGAUGCCCUGGCAGUCAGAGGCGAUGAAGGACGUGCUAAUCUGCGAUAAGCGUCGGUAAGGUGAUAUGAACCGUUAUAACCGGCGAUUUCCGAAUGGGGAAACCCAGUGUGAUUCGUCACACUAUCAUUAACUGAAUCCAUAGGUUAAUGAGGCGAACCGGGGGAACUGAAACAUCUAAGUACCCCGAGGAAAAGAAAUCAACCGAGAUUCCCCCAGUAGCGGCGAGCGAACGGGGAGCAGCCCAGAGCCUGAAUCAGUGUGUGUGUUAGUGGAAGCGUCUGGAAAGGCGCGCGAUACAGGGUGACAGCCCCGUACACAAAAAUGCACAUGCUGUGAGCUCGAUGAGUAGGGCGGGACACGUGGUAUCCUGUCUGAAUAUGGGGGGACCAUCCUCCAAGGCUAAAUACUCCUGACUGACCGAUAGUGAACCAGUACCGUGAGGGAAAGGCGAAAAGAACCCCGGCGAGGGGAGUGAAAAAGAACCUGAAACCGUGUACGUACAAGCAGUGGGAGCCUCUUUAUGGGGUGACUGCGUACCUUUUGUAUAAUGGGUCAGCGACUUAUAUUCUGUAGCAAGGUUAACCGAAUAGGGGAGCCGAAGGGAAACCGAGUCUUAACUGGGCGUUAAGUUGCAGGGUAUAGACCCGAAACCCGGUGAUCUAGCCAUGGGCAGGUUGAAGGUUGGGUAACACUAACUGGAGGACCGAACCGACUAAUGUUGAAAAAUUAGCGGAUGACUUGUGGCUGGGGGUGAAAGGCCAAUCAAACCGGGAGAUAGCUGGUUCUCCCCGAAAGCUAUUUAGGUAGCGCCUCGUGAAUUCAUCUCCGGGGGUAGAGCACUGUUUCGGCAAGGGGGUCAUCCCGACUUACCAACCCGAUGCAAACUGCGAAUACCGGAGAAUGUUAUCACGGGAGACACACGGCGGGUGCUAACGUCCGUCGUGAAGAGGGAAACAACCCAGACCGCCAGCUAAGGUCCCAAAGUCAUGGUUAAGUGGGAAACGAUGUGGGAAGGCCCAGACAGCCAGGAUGUUGGCUUAGAAGCAGCCAUCAUUUAAAGAAAGCGUAAUAGCUCACUGGUCGAGUCGGCCUGCGCGGAAGAUGUAACGGGGCUAAACCAUGCACCGAAGCUGCGGCAGCGACACUAUGUGUUGUUGGGUAGGGGAGCGUUCUGUAAGCCUGCGAAGGUGUACUGUGAGGUAUGCUGGAGGUAUCAGAAGUGCGAAUGCUGACAUAAGUAACGAUAAAGCGGGUGAAAAGCCCGCUCGCCGGAAGACCAAGGGUUCCUGUCCAACGUUAAUCGGGGCAGGGUGAGUCGACCCCUAAG
rnacentral:rRNA from 1 species